rnacentral:rRNA from 1 species
UACAGAGGGUGCGAGCGUUAAUCGGAAUGACUGGGCGUAAAGAGCUCGUAGGCGGCUUGUCACGUCGGGUGUGAAAGCCCGGGGCUUAACCCCGGGUCUGCAUUCGAUACGGGCAGGCUAGAGUGUGGUAGGGGAGAUCGGAAUUCCUGGUGUAGCGGUGAAAUGCGCAGAUAUCAGGAGGAACACCGGUGGCGAAGGCGGAUCUCUGGGCCAUUACUGACGCUGAGGAGCGAAAGCGUGGGGAGCGAACAGG